CCCACAACAGAACAUGCACACUAAAACACCCCCCCUCGCACGCACACGCACACACCCUAUUCCCCUCCCCCUCUCCCAUUCCAUACCAGGGCACGUCGUGACAAAACAAAGAACACCCCAUAAUAGUCAGUCGCACAGUAUGCAUGGUAACCAGUUAUGUCAUAGAUGACUGUGUGUGUGUUUCAUUCACUGUACAUGCACACACAACUUACAGGCAACCAUGAUUCGAUAACCACAUGAAUGACCAACGGACCACACACACAAAGUAAAAACGUGACAUCUGAUAAGGCUAAUUUAUAUUCAAGUUCAACACAACUGGAACAAAAUGAUGAGUCACUGUAAUCCACUACACAAAAAUAGGCGCGCACACAAAGGCGGCGCACAAAUGACCAUAUCCAAAACACAGAAGUCAUGCUGCACGUGCACGGCCUCACGUAAUCACCCAUAACUGUUACUCUGCACAAUCCAUUCACCUGCCCGUCAUGCCACAAACAUACACUCCUCUGAUCAGUGUGUGUGGUUUUGUCCAUACACACAGGUACAUAUCAUGGCUAUCAAGAGAUUGCUGCAACCUGCGAUACAAACAUGUUGUCGAUCUUGGGAUUUGCCGGUGUGUGUGUGUGUGUGUGUGUGUGCAUCCUUAAAAAGAAGACAAAAAAAGAGCAGAGGUCAGGUUUCUGUCCCAUUAUGCAACUCUCAAAUACCCCCCCCCCCCUUCCUUAGGCUAGUUGCCCAUAGCAACACACUUAUAAUGAGGUCAGACGGCCAUCCCAUAAUAUUCAGCAGCGUAAGGAGGCGCCUGAGUGGAGGUGUCAGAGGCUGAAUCAGCAACAAGACAAGAUGGCCGCCGCAUAAACACAAGUUGAAUCAUCAGGAGGUAAUAAAGGAAGAUCUCCAUCGAGACAGAGAGACUUUUAAAGCUGGAGAAAGAUAAGGAAUACUUCUAUAAACAAGUUUUCGAUGUUUUUGAUCAGAAAGAGCUGGCAUGGCUUUCAUUUAUAAGUAAAGGUAAGACCAUUUUUUAUUUAUUUUUAAUUUAGCCUUUAUUUAACCAGUUAAAAUCCCAUUGAGAUCAAAGAUCUCUUUUCCAAGGGAGACCUGGCCAAGAAGGCAGCAGCAAGGUUACAUUAAAAACAGUAAACAACACAUAAAACAUCACAUUUACAACAUUAAAACUUGCUCAUAUUACACAUGUGCAUACAGACAAGGAAGACUGCAAUCCUUUCACAGAAGCUUUAAACUCAUUUAAUGUAACAAGGGUUUUAAAUUGAAUAUUCAAUUGUAAGUUAUUCCAAGCCUUCGGUGCUGAAAAUAAUAACUAUAAUAAAAAAAAGAAAAUUUAUUACAUGUGCUUUUCAUGAUGGUAUCCUUACAUCACACUCAAAUUUUUACUGCAUGCCUUUGGUAAGUGCCGUAGUGAGAAGAGGUUUUAAAAUAAUUAGCGCAUGCUUACUUUUACCGCAUGCCUUUGGUAAGCGCAAGAGUGAGAAGAGGUUUUAAAAUAAUUAGCGCAUGCUUACUUUUACCGCAUGCCUUUGGUAAGCGCAAGAGUGAGAAGAGGUUUUAAAUUAAUUAGCGCCCUGGCGGCAAUUCAAGGAAAUACGGUAAUAGUAGGGGAAACACUGGCAUACACACCUGCGUUAGCGCUGAACACUCCACAUAUUUGACAGCCCUCAGAUCUCGCGCCAGCUUGUCUCCGUGCUCGGGCAUCAGAGCUCGCUGUUUGUUCUUGGCCAGCUUCUCCAGGGUGUUGUGGUCGUCCCUCAGGUCUAUUUGCGUACCCACCAGUAGGUACGGCGUGGACGGGCAAUGGUGGGAAAUCUCCGGCACCCACUGCGAGGUAAGACGGUCAAAGAGGUUUGUUUGUGACAAGGGUUUAAAGUGUUGGCAUUUGCAACUUUGAACCGACCUUCUCUUUGACGUUCUCAUAGGAAGACGGCGACACGACGGAGAAGCACACAAGGAAGAUGUCUGUCUGGGGGUAGCUUAGGGGUCGCAGUCUGUCGUAGUCCUCCUGGCCUGCAAGGGGAAAUGCAGCCAUCACAACUUGGAGUAGCAAGACACUAAGGUGUACUUCACCAAAACCAUGCUGGACUUGAGUGCGAGUCCCCCUCCCUCUUGUCCUGUCCCAUCACUUCAGUUCUGCUGUAUUACAAUAAUUGCCAUGACUUUGUGGAUUGUUUCAAGUCUUAUUUGGAGUUGUUUUAGUUCUACAGUGCAAAGAGGUUGCAGUCAUUACUUGCGAGAAGAAAAAUCGCAACAACUAAGUGACUAGUUUUCAUUAUGCGAAUGUUCUGACUUUUUGAUCAUUUUAAGUCUUUGUAUUUCAUUUGCAUUAUGAACAGUGUUGCCAACUCCUCAACAAGGAAAGUAGCCAUUGGCUAUCAUAAAAGUUGCUUGAUGAUGUCAUUACCUAAUUUCCAUAUUUUAUGGCAAUGGAUGCUGUAGGAGAGAUACAAAAGUCAAUUUAAAGAAAUAAUUAUGAAUAAACUGCAGAUUACUUUUCUUCUUUUGAUUUUUAGUUGUUUUUGCAUCAAUUUUGUUCUGCAAUAAUAAAUGUUUAGGGUAUCAAAUUUGAUUAAAAGAAUAAAGGGUUGUGAUAGUCACUAACGAA